GCUUGACAACGGUACGUCUCCACGCCCUGCUACUUGUUCUGUGUGACUUCUACUCCGGAGCGAUUUAUAGUCCGAAAAAUACGGAUCCUGGACACUGUUGAUAUUUGGGACUGUGCUCUGGUCCAGUGAGCAGCCGAGUUUCCAGGACAACAGAGCCCCAUUCUCCACCACCUGGGGAGACAUUGAGGAAUUGUUAAUUGAAUUUUCCAUCUACUUAUGUGACUUUAACUUCUACCCAAGUAAUUUGUUAAGAUACUUACCUCAUAAUUACUCAAGUAAUGCUUUAAUGUACUUUAUACAGCACUGAUUCUAAUUUAUCAUUCACACACAAUCUUUACCUUUUUGGCAUUCCCCGGCCCGGCCAUGAACGCAGACAUGUCAAACAGCCGGUUGUUGACCACCGGGAGGAUCUUCAUGUGCUGGAGACCGACCCUGGAGAAGCUCUGCAUGUCAUCCAGGAGCGCCACUCUCUGUUCUGAACUCAUCUUGGUCAAAUCGGCAUCCAGGAUCACCGUCAGUACCGUGACGGGUUCCUCGUUGCUACAGGCGAACGGAUGGGUGUCGUCAUCCGCCGAGGCUUGGUUGGAUGCGAGCUGGGCCGAGUCUGCGUCCAGAUGAUCUUCAGGGUGAACCUCGAUGGAAAACACCUCCGAGGAAGACGAGGACUUUGUGUGGUUGGAGAUAGAUGCUGAGAUGUAAUGGACACCUUUGUCCUCCUCCAGAGGUAGACCCUGCAGGACUCGGCUGCUGGCGUCCCAGUGCAGCCAGGCGGGGAGCGAGUCCUUACCCAUCUCUGUGAUCUGAAGGACAAACAAAACAGAUGUUUCAAUUAAAAUUGUUCCGAUACCAGUAUCGGAAAUGCCUCCGAUACUGCCUAGAAUGCUGGGAUCGGCGAGUUUGUGAAUCUAUGCACACAUCUGACACCAAAUAAUUUAGCUCUGAAAAUCAAUCUACCUUAAAAUUAGUUUAUUUAUGUUCUUUAUCUGUUGAGACUGACAGUCAAAGUAGAUACAAAAAGAGUUACCUGGCAUUUAUUCUCUGUAAUCUCUGUAUUUGUUCAUGUUUCACAAAAAGUUUAACCUGAGCCAGAAC